AUUGAACGCUGGCGGCAGGCCUAACACAUGCAAGUCGAACGAGUGGCGGACGGGUGAGUAAUGUCUGGGAACCUGCCUGAUGGAGGGGGAUAACUACUGGAAACGGUAGCUAAUACCGCAUAACACCGGAAGGGCCCAGAUGGGAUUAGCGAGAAGGUGGGGUAAAGGCUCAACUAGGCGACGAUCCCUAGCUGGUCUGAAAGGAUGACGAGGCACACUGAAACUGAGACACAGUCCAGAAUCCUACGGGAGGCAGCAGUGGGAAAUAUUGCACAAUGGGCGCAAGCCUGAUGCAGCAAUGUCGCGUGUAUGAAGAUGGCCAUCGGGUUGUAAAGUACUUGCAGCGGGGAGGCGUUGCCCGCAGAAGAAGCACAGGCUAACUCCGUGCCAGCCGCCGAGGUAAUAC
rnacentral:rRNA from 1 species